UCAGCUCUUGGGGCCUGACACUGUGUGAUCUCCUGUCAGGGAUGGCCCUGCCUUGCUCUGUUCAGAGGACCAGCCUCCUUCCUGAGGACAGAAAGGGUUUUUGGCCUCUCCUGGUCAUGCUCCCAUAUUCGAGGUGCUGAUGGCAUCACUGUUGGUGUGAGCAGGAAGGACUAGGAAGGAGGUAAGCAUGUCCCCCUCUCUGGGCAGGGGAGGACGUUCAGGAGAACCUCCUAGGGAAAGCUGGAUCCUUCUUCUUCCAGUUCUCAUCCUCCCAUUCUGUCCUCCCCAAACACCACAGAAGGGAAGUUGUGCUUAGCUGCAAACCCUUUCAUGGCCGGUGGUCCUGUGUGGCCACUGCCAUUGCUACCUGGAAGCCGAGGCUCGGAGGAGUCGUAGGACUUGCCUGAGGUCACACGAUGUCUUCGUCUGCUCCUGCUCCUACAGCAACGUCCCUCAGACUGGGGGGCUUAAACAACAGUCACUCAUCUCCCACAGUUCAGCAGUGUGGGAUGUGCAAGGUCAAGGUGCUGGCAGGUUCAGUGUCUGGCGAGAGACCUCUCCCUGGUCAUGGAUGGCCGCCCUCCCAUGCUGUCCUCACCUGGCCUUUCCUUGGUAUGAGCUCAGAAAGAGAGCUCUCCCAUCUCCUCCUCUUCCUAUAAGACCCCCAAUCCCAUCACAAGGGCCCCACCUCCAAACACCACCCCACCGGGGCUUAGGGCUUCCACGCGUGAAUUCUGGGGAGGGUUCACCGGCUGGCUCUGCGUGGGACAGAAGGCGUGCCCCCAUGUCUCCCACAGGAACAGGGCCUCCGUCUGCCUGCUCUGCUGUGGGCAUCGCCAGAAUGCCGUCAACUGGGGGGCGACUCCCUGACUUGCCAGCAAAUCAACGGAAAGGGAGUGCCAGAGUGACGCUUCCAUCCUAGAUGGUCAGAGCACAAGCAGCUUGCCGCUGAUGAAGUCGCCACGGAAGCCAGCCUGGAGACGCAGAGCAGGAAGAGACCGCCCCGCAUUAAACAGAACCUGCUGCCCCGUUAACCCUCGCCUCUCCCCUGCCCUUCGCCAUGACCCCUGAAGCCCGGAGGGGGGAGAGCAGCCUCUGGCCUGGACGGACAAGGCGGCGGGGGGGCGGGGGGGCGCUCACUUAGAGAACGGGAUGCGGGUCAGAUGUCCCCUCUGGGUUGGUGGGAAGUUCCUGGGCACUCUGGCCUGGCUGGGUUUCCACAGCAGGGCAGGGGUACUGGGAAGAGGCUGGAAGAGCACUUAGGAAGAGCCCCAUUACUCUGCUUUCCUGGACAUCAGUGAGAGAACAACUUGGGGGUAUUCACACUUGACCAAACACGCGAAACCCGAUGCCUGCCCUGCCCCGACAAGUACCCCUGGCCUUGGUUAGUCUUCCAUAAAAUGGGAAUCUAGAAAUAAUCUAUAAAUAGUUUAUAAAAUAGGCAUAAUGCCCACAGCUGGUGGAAUUUUAGUGAUGAUGGAACAUAUUUCUAAAGCCCGUGCUUGGAAUAUAGCAGGUGCUCGAUAAAUGGGAGCCUUCGUUAUUA